rnacentral:rRNA from 2 species
UGGGGAAUAUUGGGCAAUGGGGGAAACCCUGACCCAGCAACGCCGCGUGAGGGAAGAAGGUUUUCGGAUUGUAAACUUCUGUCCUCAGGGAAGAAGGAAGUGACGGUACCGGAGGAGGAAGCCCCGGCUAACUACGUGCCAGCAGCCGCGGUACUACGUAGGGGGCGAGCGUUGUCCGGAAUGACUGGGCGUAAAGGGCGCGUAGGCGGUCAUUUAAGUCUGGAGUGGAAGUCCUGCUUUCAAGGUGGGAAUUGCUUUGGAAACUGGUUGGCUUGAGUGCGGAAGAGGUAAGUGGAAUUCCCAGUGUAGCGGUGAAAUGCGUAGAGAUUGGGAGGAACACCAGUGGCGAAGGCGACUUACUGGGCCGUAACUGACGCUGAGGCGCGAAAGCGUGGGGAGCGAACAGG